rnacentral:misc_RNA from 1 species
AACGCACAUUGCGCCCUUUGGUAUUCCUUAGGGCACACCUGUUCGAGCGCCGUUUCAUACAUCUUAGGCUCUGCCUUGUGUUGGUCCCGAUUUGACGUCCGUCCGCAGACGGAAGCUCAAAGGACCGAAAGAGAUCGGCGAACUUCAGCUCUUGGCCGUGUUGCAGUGAAAUGUGACGUUGGCGAACGGAGACCGAAGGUCGGCCAGUUCGGGUGCAGCCCUCGUGGCUGUCCAGAUCGUAUGGCCUCGGAUCAGGUGGGGAUACCCGCUGAACUUAA